AUUAAUUAUUGCUGACACCUUAGACUAUACUCACACAACUCACAAGAACUUUUUACUGGACAAUACUCGCUCAUAGACUUCCUAUGCGUGAGGCCCAAUUUUUAUCAUGAUACCUAAAUUGGAGAUCGCAUCUCCUGUAUAUAGGUGCUGAUCCACCGACCCAGUAACUCUCCUGAACACUCUAGUAUGUUCGUGUGGCAUUGCAUCUAGCUGUCAGAUUCCCGUUCCAAGCACACCUUUAGAAAUCAUGG
rnacentral:lncRNA from 1 species